GCCUGAGUCCCAGGGAUGGCUUUCUUGGUUUGAAUGUGUAUCAGAUUAUUUCUAUUUACACAAUGUUUUUGAUUUGAAAUGUUGCUUUUCACUUUUUGAGGACGAUUUAGAACACUCAAGGGCAUACUAGGAAACGUUAUUGUAGGUGGUGCUGAGGGGAGCACGACAGGGGGGCGUAAAGGAGUUAUAUUGAUGUCAACAGAGGUGGUGGGUAUACAUAUGGUCGAAGCAUUGGAUGAUACUGUGGGGGUUGAAACGGGGGGAAAUGGCUGGG